AUUUAAGUAGUUUAGUUAAAAUUCAAAGUUGUGAUCUUUGAGAAGUAUUGUCCUUAAAUU
rnacentral:tRNA from 1 species